rnacentral:rRNA from 1 species
UACGUAGGGGUCGAGCGUUGUCCGGAGUUACUGGGCGUAAAGCGCGCGCAGGUGGCUCAUUACGCCCGGCGUGAAAGCCCCCGGCUCAACCGGGGAAGGUCGUCGGGUACGGGUGAGCUUGAGGGUAUCAGGGGCUGGUGGAAUUCCCGGUGUAGUGGUGAAAUGCGUAGAGAUCGGGAGGAACACCCGUGGCGAAGGCGGCCAGCUGGGAUACACCUGACACUGAGGCGCGAAAGCGUGGGGAGCGAACAGG